CCUACGGGUGGCAGCAGUGAGGAAUAUUGGUCAAUGGACGAAAGUCUGAACCAGCCAAGUAGCGUGAAGGAUGACUGCCCUAUGGGUUGUAAACUUCUUUUAUAAAGGAAUAAAACGAGGCACGUGUGCCUUUUUGCAUGUACUUUAUGAAUAAGGAACGGCUAACUCCGUGCCAGCAGCCGCGGUAAUACGGAGGAUCCGAUCGUUAUCCGGAUUUAUUGGGUUUAAAGGGAGCGGAGAUGGGUUGUUAAGUCAGUUGUGAAAGUUUGCGGCUCAACCGUAAAAUUGCAAUUGAUACUGGCAGUCUUGAGUACAGUAGAGGUAGGCGGAAUUCGUGGUGUAGCGGUGAAAUGCUUAGAUAUCACGAAGAACACCGAUUGCGAAGGCAGCUUACUAAACUGUGACUGACAUUGAUGCUCGAAAGUGUGGGGAGCAAACAGGAUUAGAUACCCCAGUAGUC
rnacentral:rRNA from 1 species